rnacentral:tRNA from 1 species
GUUCCUGUAGUUAAAUACUUGUUAACGACAGUUUUUCAGGCUGUAGUUCUCGGAUAAAGGCCGGGCAGGAAUU